GUGGCACCCAACCCAAGAACUGCCGCUGCCUGUAGCAGCUGUUUAAAUAGUGGUGCACACAGCAAAGGGGCUUUAUCGCCUUUGGGGGGGCUGUGCAGUGCCCCCCAGAGUGAAUCAGUAGGUUCUACAGUC
ensembl:snoRNA Gm22661 predicted gene, 22661